rnacentral:lncRNA from 1 species
UUUUUUUUUUUUUUUUUUUUCAUUUUCAUUUCAUUUGCCUGGCUUCCUUCCUUCCUCCACCUCAAACUCCCAUUUCUAUCAUCUGUGUUCCCCACUCUGUUUUUAGCAGCAUCCAGUCUCUCUGGUGCUUAUUCCAGUUUCACUUUAAUUUCUGUGAUGGUUUCAUUUUUCCCUUCAACCUUUUUCCUAAGCUCUACCAGAUCACACAUCUUCUCCCUCUCUUUUGCCUCAUGAUCUCUUCCUGGAGCUUUUGCAUCUCUGAUUUAUGUUCUUCCUUCACAUAAUCAAUUGCUUCAUCAAGCUUUUUAAGUUUUUGACAGAAAGUUUAGUCAAAAACUUCAUCUACCUUGUGGCAAUAUUUUUUGGUGCUUGUCUGCCACUUGUUAUAAUUUGUUUCCUUUGCAUCUGUUCAUCUUUGAUUGUCUCUCUUUUAUUUUUCACCUCUGCAAUAUGAGUUUUUCCUCGACCAGGUACUUGCAAAAGUUCACACUGAUGAAGGGCCAAGGCCAGCUCGAACUUUUCUUAUGUUGCCGAGUGUUAUGUGUAAGUUUGUUUUUCUUGAGUCAAUGGAGUUUAGCAGCUAUGAGGGUUUUCCAAAGCAAAGUUACUUUUCUCCCCCUCGGGCAAUUAUAGACUGCUUCCUACAAAUAUAACCUGUCUCUGUGAUUUCUCUUUUAGCCUCACUUUUUCUUCUUGGAAUAAAACUAUGUACAAGGGCAUACCUACUUACAGCAUAUGCACCUGUUUCUGCUGUUGUGUACAAAGUAUUACAUUUUGCCCAUCAGGGUGAACCUUCACCUUUGAAAAGUGGGUUUUGUCUUUUUCUAGGAUCUGUGCUGCAGUUUCUCUUUCACCAUGCACUGCAAAAUAAUCUCCACUACUUUUGGCAAUGCUUUCACCUCUUUUAUAGUUUGAGAUUCUAGCUAUUUCUCAUUUUUGUCAAAAGCGGAGUUUGUCUUUUUCCUUCUCAUUUUCCUUUUAGCUUUGGAGUAGUUUUCAGGAAGAGAAGGAAGGGAGUGCUGGUUUUAUGGCACUGUAUGCAAACCUAAAAUCUCUUCAAUUCUUUUAAAAUUACUAUUAUUUGAAUAUGUUUUAGAAUUGCACAGUAUAUUAAAACAUAAAAUUUAUAUAAACAUGCUACAUUUAUAUGUAAAUUUAUUAUAUAUUAAUAUAUUAGGUAGCCUGCUCUCUCAAAAUUUUUAUCUAUGCACUAACUGAUCAAAACGCUUAGAGAAUACUGAAGUCAAGAAAUCUUGUGUAGUAGAUGCUAUUAUAAAGUUAGAUACCUAAAGCUGUUGGUCCAGAGAGAAUAACAUCUCCCUCUUCUAAUAAGCCUAGAUCAAUAUAUAAUGUUGGUGCAUGUAUGCAUGGAAGAGAAAAAUGGUUUGAUGAAUAAUGUCUGAUAGAAACACAAUAAUAAUAACAUACUUUUGUUAGUUUUGCAAUUUGAUAGUAUAAUAUUUUGCCAAGCACUUUAUUUGAUCCUCCAAAUGGCCCAUUGAGGGGUGUAUUGUCAUUUCCUUUUUACAAAUAUGGACUGUGAAGCCCACAGAGACUGUGACUUCUUUAAGGCCACACAGAUAAAAGUCUAGCCCUUGUCACUGAAGUCCCCAACUUGGAAUUUAGGGAGUGAUAAAUGUUCCUUGGUGGGAUAUGGACCCAUACAAAAGCAAGUCCUGUAGUUUAUUGACUGAUGGAUGGAUUGAUAUAUUGAUUUAGGCUCUAACAAUAGAUAUUUGUUUUCUCAUGCUUCUUGUGGUGGGAUCAGGGUGCCAGCAUGGUCAUGUUCUAGUGAGGGCUCUCUUCCUGGAUUGCACCUGGCCAUCUUCUCACUGAAUCUUCACGUGGCCUUUCCUCAGCAUGUGCUCUCAGAGAGAAAGAGAGAGCACAAGUCCUAGAGUUGAAAAAGCUACCUACCUAGUUACAGAACCUUCUCCAUCAAAACAUGUUAAGUCCUGAACUGUGUUAAUGAGAUGAAAGCAAAAAGAGAUGUCAAUGUUUUCAAAUACUUGAGGUAAUAUUUUCCAAAUCUCUUGUACUGGCUCCACAGCACAAAAAGAAAAGAAGACAUAGAGUCAUUCUUCAGUUUAUUUAUUAAUGUAUGGGUUCAAGGUAGGUAACGGAACCCCAAAAAGGACUUAAGAAUGAGACCUGGAAAACAGCCUAGAUCCUUUAUCACCUUCCACAUUUUAUUUUCAACUCAUUCAGUGUUCAGAUGGCCAGUGGCUUGGUAUCGAGUCAAUUACUAUUUGAGAGUACAUCAAAUAGCCAUCAGUUAAAAUGUCAGAAUAGCUUCAUUCUUUUUAAAUAAACUGCCUCUUCCAUAAUUUAUUCUGAUGCUUCUUGCCAGAUGCUAUGCAAUCAAAUAAUUGAAACUUCUAUCACUUCGAAAUGUACCUUAGGCACAGCCAAGUGUGUAGUAUUUUAUUGAUUUAUUAGUAUGGUCAAAAUGUGUGUGUGUGUGUGUGUGUGUGUGUGUGUGUAGGGGAAGGCAUAAGACAGUUGUGAAUAGAUUAGCCAUGAUCAAAGAUGUCAAAAGAUGUAUAGCCUUUUGUAUAACUCAACAUUUUGAGUGAGACAUUAAGAGACACAGCCAGUUGCUUUCACAGAUUUAUGAACUCAUAACUGUUUAAAUUAGAUUGUUUUUUUUGUAUAAUUAAAAGAACUCAAAUCACAGAUAGCUGAAAGAUUUUUCCAAAGAAUGUUUUUAAAAUAAUAUUGAAAAUUUGUGAAGGGUUGAUUUUCUAAGUAAAUUCCAGGCUUUGGAAUAGUUGACAAGCAUUCUUGCCUAGAAAGUGUUCACUCUUCACUGUUAGAAGUUGAAAAACUACAAAAAGGAAGGAAAGAAGGGUGGUAGGCAGGGAGGGAAGGAGAUUUCAUUGGUAAGUAUAUACUUGUGUAUUUAGAAUUUCAUGUGAAACUAAAAGUUGAGAAGAGGCUUUUUUACAUGAAAUUAUCUCCUUGCUUUCUGUACCUAAUUCUACAGGCCCUAAAAUGGCUAAUUAAAACCUAACUGUAUUGCUUAGUUAAUUCAGUUGACAGUUAACCCCAGGGAAUAUUUUGGCAGUUAAUUAUAUACAUUGACAAUUUUUAUAUGGUGGAUAUAAAUUUAUAGUGAUACAGCUAUAAAAUCUCACCCCAGCAAGCAAAUUUUUGUUCAUACAAAGGUUUAGAUUAAUCUUAAUCAGUAGUAAGAAAUGUAAUUGAGCUAGUUUGAUAAGUGAUAAUUCCCAUAGUGCUUCAAAGAGCUUGUCAUUCUUAUGAAUUGUUCUGCUGUAGUACAACUUGCAAAGAGAUAUGUAUUUCUAAGGACCACACAUUGGUGAAUAAAUAAGAAUGUCUCUGUCUCUCUCUCACACAACACACAAACAUGCACACACAUACACAUUUCAGAAUUAAAUUUCUUCUCAUCUUCAAAUUUUACUCCUUUUCAGACUCACAAAUAACUGUUCUGAGCUCAAGAACCUACUGGGCUAAACAUGUAAUACAAACUCAUACCAAAGGAAUUUGUGGUCCAACUGGGAGGACAAGACUUUGAAAAUAUAAACCAGAGAAAUAAAACAGAACUGAUUUGGGUACCAAAAUACUUUUGGGGCAAAGCACUGUGAGUUGCUGGGUUUCAAGGCAGAAUCAGGACUGGGAGAAUUGGGGGAAGUAGACACAAGAGCAUCGGCCCCGUGGCGUGCUGAGGCUGCGGUACCAUUGGGCCCCAGGGAUGGAGAGGCAAAGCGAGCAGUAUCUAACUCAUGCUGGGGAGACUGGACAGCUUCACCAGAGGUAGGACAUCUGAGAUGACUGUUUAAAAAUAGAGUUUAUCCAAAAACAGACUCACAGACCUAGAGAACAGACUUGUGGUUGCCAAGCAGGAGAUGAGAUAGCAGGGGAAGGAUCCAGAGUAUGGGAUUAGCAGAACCAAACUAUUAUAUAUAAGAUGGAUAGACAGCAAGGACCUAUUGUAGAGCACAGGGAAUUAUAGUCAUGAUGGGAACCAUCAUGAUGGGAAAAGAAUAUGAAAAAGGAUAUGUAUGUAUAACUGGGUCACUUUACUGUACAGCCGAAAUCAACACAACAUUGUAAAUCAGCUAUAUU